UUGCCGUAAAUGAGCGACUACUGCGUAUCCCGUCGUCCUGUGCGCCUCGAACAGAAUCCUGCUCGUCCCCCCGCCGCCGCCGGGUACCAUAGGGCUUUUUCCCACCGCCACCGGCCACCAUGACGCCAUGCCCCAUCCACUCUCGCUAGCCCCGACUACACAACAACCUAUUCAGCUCCACCGUGUGUGCCGAACCCGUUGCUCAGAUGAGAUCCACGCUCGACAGUACGAUGGGAGGCGAGACAAAUCUCUCCCCACUGCUGCUGGAACCGGAGACUCUACGCGGCGAGGAGCAGGAUUGGGUGUCGGCGCUGGGGGAGUCAGUUUCCUUCGGACGAUUCCUCUCUGAGCCGCUGGAGUGGGUGCCAUGGCGCAAAUCCUAGUUGUGCCGCCGGCUACCAUGGGUCAUGUCCAAUCAUCACCAGCAGCUGAGCUCGAUCUAUCGGUAGAAGGCAAUUUGUCAGUGCCAGUUGCAGCGGUCGGAGCUCGACCUGCCUCCUCCAACUGUGGUGAUAUGUGCAUUGGGGGUUAUCGCCCAACCAAUAGUUGUAAUACGGCGGCAGCCCGUUCAUCAGGAAGUGCAGCACAUAUGGGAGGAUCCGAGCUCUAUCUGGUUAGCUUAUCCUCUAAUCUUGUAGUGUUCAUGCAAAGAUCUAGUUUUCGGAAUAAGAUUGUUCUGUGAGUUGUUGUCAUCACAGGCUGCAAAGAAAUGUAGCCCUUAAUGAGCGGAAGCAUGCCAUGAAAGAUUGUGCAGAAGUUUGAGCAUAUAUAGGCAUGCAAGAAUGCGCUUCUUUGUUUGACAAAUUCCUUCAACGAGUCAUGGGUUAGUAUUAGACAGGGGCUGGAGUAUCACAACUUCUAGGCUUGAUGUGGCAAAAAAUUUAAAACUGAAAGACAACUGAAGCUAUUCUCAGUUCCGAGCAACUCGAGUUAGAAAAUUUUAAAGGCCCUUUAUCAAUUUUUAUACGCAUCGCUAUGCUAUUACACAAUUUCAUGACAUCUAGUAACUAGUAUCACAUCUAUUAAAUAGUAUCAAGCAGGCUGAGUACCUGUCUAAGCAUUAUCGCAAGAAUUUUGUUUUCAUGAAUUUUGUUAUCCUCUAACAGUCUCAUCCUUAAGAUCUGACGCUUGGUACAUAAGCAUUUGUUGAUAGCUUGGUACGAAUUCUUCCCUGGCCAAUCAUUAGGGGGUUGCACAUAGACUCAAGAAGCAGAUGCCAUUAUAUUAUUAUUUUUCAUUUCAGUUAGUUAAGCCAAAGAUUUAUUUAUUAUUUUGCUUCACUAGUGAUAUGUAAGACACUGAGAUUUGAAAGGUGCAUAAGCUUCCACACCAACAAUCGUUGGGAACAACCAGAAUCAUUCAUUCUUGGGUCAAAACAUUUUCUGGAUUUGAAAAUAGUAUGGGCGCAAAUAACUGGGCUCCUUAGGUGAAAAGAUACAGUGACUUUGCUGUCAUUUAACAAAUAUUAUGAAUUAAUAAGAUGUCAACACUGUUAUUCUGAACAAGAGAAUGAUGAUGUGGAGGGGGAGUAACAAUAAUUUCAUACUUGGCAAGCUGAACUCAGUACAUGUUCACUGCUACGUUGUUGCUUAUGUAUGUGCCGGUAGGGUUGUACUGCUGUCCAAGUUCUUGCCAUUUCAAAUUUAUAUGGUGCGGCUACAUGUAGCUUCAGAUGCUUGUUAUAGCUAAUUGCCAGGAUAGUUAAGCUUACAUUCUUAGCUUUGUGGUUUGUUGAUGUCCAGUGCACAUGCUAAUGGUGACUUGUAGGGCAAAUAAAUUAGAUGCAAAAUUAUGAUUGACGGCUAUGCAGCGAAAUCAGAACUAGCGGCUCCUAUCAUGUGACGAAUGUAUUUGGAAAAAGAAACUGAGGAAGGAACUAUGUACAAGUGCACAAAGGAGUUUUGCUCAGGCAGAAAGCAAAAUUGAAAAAGACAUGAGCAGGCUGUUACGAAGAAGGUGAACAACCUGGACCUAGGCGGCGAGGGGGAGCUCGGGAAGGCUAUGGGACCUGAGAGCAUCUUCAAGUCCAGGUUAUGCAUGAGCUUUCUCGCCGGCGAGUAAUGCGCCUUCAGCGGCAGAUGCUCCUUUCGCCCAUGCCAAAGUUGAGUUGCACAGUCCUGCUGCAUCUCAAGAAGUCGAAGACCAAGUGGUUCUCAUGGUGUUCAUGAUGAUUAUGCGUCUGUUAUUUUGCGGAAAUGCCUAAACAAAAAACUUUUCUUGUCUAUUUUUGUCGUAGUCCAUUUUUUCGGUUCAAUGAAUUCAUGAUAGGCAAGGCAUAAAAAAUGGAGUGAACAGACAUUCAUUCGUAAACUCGAGAUAUUAAUAUUAGAGCAUCAAGCAUGUAAAUCGCUGUACUAAUGAGGCAGCCCAUGUUUUGGCAAAAUCUGGUGAAGAUGAUGCUAGGUCCUGCUUGUAUAAUAGUGUACCUGAUGUUAUCAGGAGAUUGUUUGUAAUGAUGAGAUAUGAAUGAAUGAUAGGGUUCUGCCCAUUGUCCCAAAA